UACGUAGGGUGCAAGCGUUAAUCGGAAUACUGGGCGUAAAGCGUGCGCAGGCGGUUAUGUAAGACAGGUGUGAAAUCCCCCGGGCUUAACCUGGGAACUGCAUUUGUGACUGCAUAGCUAGAGUACGGUAGAGGGGGAUGGAAUUCCGCGUGUAGCAGUGAAAUGCGUAGAUAUGCGGAGGAACACCGAUGGCGAAGGCAAUCCCCUGGACCUGUACUGACGCUCAUGCACGAAAGCGUGGGGAGCAAACAGG
rnacentral:rRNA from 1 species